ACGAACGCUGGCGGCGUGCUUAACACAUGCAAGUCGAACGCUGAAGCUCAGCUUUUGUUGGGUGGAUGAGUGGCGAACGGGUGAGUAACACGUGAGUAACCUGCCUCCUUCUUUGGGAUAACGCCCGGAAAAGGGUGCUAAUACUGGAUAUUCACUGGUCUUCGCAUGGGGGGUGGUGGAAAGGGUUUUUCUGGUGGGGGAUGGGCUCGCGGCCUAUCAGCUUGUUGGUGGGGUGAUGGCCUACCAAGGCUUUGACGGGUAGCCGGCCUGAGAGGGAGACCGGUGACAUUGGGACUGAGAUACGGCCCAGACUCCGACGGGAGGCAGCCGUGGGGAAUAUUGCACAAUGGGCGCAAGCCGGAUGCAGCGACGCCGCGUGAGGGCUGGAGGCCGUCGGGUUGUGAACCUCUUUCGCUCAUGGUCAAGCCGCAACAAUGGUUGUGGUGAGGGUAGUGGGUAAAGAAGCGCCGGCUAACUACGG
rnacentral:rRNA from 1 species